AAAAAGAGCACCACUCAGGUGCCAAGAAAAGCAAUUGAAGGACUAGAUUCUUGUUUACAAUGAAAUUCUCCCUUUAACUAGGAAUCUGGAUGAAAAAGGUAAACCCUAGUUUCAUAAAAGUUAGAAGAAACACAAAAGGAUGCUUAUAGCUAUCAGUGAAUACUGAGGGGGUGAGGGGAGGCAAGUGAAUGGAAUUUUCCCAGCCAAGGCAGGAAAGCUGUGACAUUGUGACAUAGGGAACAAGGUUAAAAGUAGGGCACUGGACUCAGGAAGGCAGGAUCACAAAAAUCUUAGGAUAAUUAGCAGAUCUAUUGGAUUAUGCCAGAGAGAGUGGAAGGUAGUUAUAUAGAAUGGAGAAUACUGAAUUAGUCGGAAAUCAGAGUUUUUCAAGCACCUCCUGUGUUGGUAUAUGAUUUCAGAAAGUUUCUGUAUGUUAUAGAAGUUCAAAGAAGACAAACUCUAGCCAAGAGCAGUGUGAAGAAAAGAAGACGCUAUAUUAAUCACAGUCCAGGGAUGCCUUCUGGCUUCCUGGCAGCAAUUCCGGCCUGAGAUUCCUUCUCUGUGCAUACUUCCUGUCAACAUUGUGUGAUGUCAAGCUGUGGCCGUCACAAAAGUACUGUGAACACCUGUAAAUCCCAACUAUCAAAAAUCACACCCAGGAAUCCAAAUUAGCAUUAUUAUGUCAAAAGAAA
rnacentral:lncRNA from 1 species